AGAGUUUGAUCCUGGCUCAGAUUGAACGCUGGCGGCAUGCCUUACACAUGCAAGUCGAACGGCAGCACGAGAGCUUGCUCUUGGUGGCGAGUGGCGAACGGGUGAGUAAUAUAUCGGAACGUACCCUAGAGUGGGGGAUAACGUAGCGAAAGUUACGCUAAUACCGCAUACGAUCUACGGAUGAAAGUGGGGGAUCGCAAGACCUCAUGCUCAUGGAGCGGCCGAUAUCUGAUUAGCUGGUUGGUGGGGUAAAAGCUCACCAAGGCGACGAUCAGUAGCUGGUCUGAGAGGACGACCAGCCACACUGGAACUGAGACACGGUCCAGACUCCUACGGGAGGCAGCAGUGGGGAAUUUUGGACAAUGGGCGCAAGCCUGAUCCAGCAAUGCCGCGUGAGUGAAGAAGGCCUUCGGGUUGUAAAGCUCUUUUGUCAGGGAAGAAACGGUGGACUCUAAUACAGAUCACUAAUGACGGUACCUGAAGAAUAAGCACCGGCUAACUACGUGCCAGCAGCCGCGGUAAUACGUAGGGUGCAAGCGUUAAUCGGAAUUACUGGGCGUAAAGCGUGCGCAGGCGGUUGUGCAAGACAGAUGUGAAAUCCCCGGGCUCAACCUGGGAAUUGCAUUUGUGACUGCACGGCUAGAGUGUGUCAGAGGGGGGUAGAAUUCCACGUGUAGCGGUGAAAUGCGUAGAGAUGUGGAGGAAUACCGAUGGCGAAGGCAGCCCCCUGGGAUAACACUGACGCUCAUGCACGAAAGCGUGGGGAGCAAACAGGAUUAGAUACCCUGGUAGUCCACGCCCUAAACGAUGUCUACUAGUUGUCGGGUCUUAAUUGACUUGGUAACGCAGCUAACGCGUGAAGUAGACCGCCUGGGGAGUACGGUCGCAAGAUUAAAACUCAAAGGAAUUGACGGGGACCCGCACAAGCGGUGGAUGAUGUGGAUUAAUUCGAUGCAACGCGAAAAACCUUACCUACCCUUGACAUGUCUGGAAUCCUUGAGAGAUCAGGGAGUGCUCGAAAGAGAAUCAGAACACAGGUGCUGCAUGGCUGUCGUCAGCUCGUGUCGUGAGAUGUUGGGUUAAGUCCCGCAACGAGCGCAACCCUUGUCAUUAGUUGCUACGAAAGGGCACUCUAAUGAGACUGCCGGUGACAAACCGGAGGAAGGUGGGGAUGACGUCAAGUCCUCAUGGCCCUUAUGGGUAGGGCUUCACACGUCAUACAAUGGUACAUACAGAGGGCCGCCAACCCGCGAGGGGGAGCUAAUCCCAGAAAGUGUAUCGUAGUCCGGAUUGUAGUCUGCAACUCGACUACAUGAAGUUGGAAUCGCUAGUAAUCGCGGAUCAGCAUGUCGCGGUGAAUACGUUCCCGGGUCUUGUACACACCGCCCGUCACACCAUGGGAGCGGGUUUCACCAGAAGUGGGUAGCCUAACCGCAAGGAGGGCGCUCACCACGGUGGGAUUCGUGACUGGGGUGAAGUCGUAACAAGGUA
rnacentral:rRNA from 1 species